GUGGAGGGAGCAAAAGAUUAGGGUGAUGGACAGGAGUCCUUCCAGACUCACAGACCUGGAGCUCAACUUCAAAAACGAUGAGGGAAGAUAAACAACAUUUUCACAAAGUGGAAAUAAGCCACAAUAGAUAAAUAAUGCCAUUUAUAUAACCCUUUAACGACAAAAUAUUAUGCACAAAUGUGUACAAUUUUAAAAAUAUAUAUCGUGUGUAUUUGCUUAAUGAUUUUGAUGAUGUAAUUUGAGAAAAUGUAAUGUUCAUGAGACAGACAGCUGAGAAGGCCUCAUCACACACAGGACAGGCGAGAUCUGGCUGUAAGUUUUGGCAGGAGUUUUAAAGAACCAUGAAAACCAUUCUUGUGGUUUAGUUUCUUCAGUGUGAUGCCAAAGAAGUGUCUGAUGGGUAUUUUUCUCGAACCUAUAUAAAAGAACCACAAACAACGUAUAUGAAUUUUAUGACAAAGCUUUUGCAAAAGGAGAAAUCUCUGGUAGCAGCUCCUCCGAGCCGUUCACAGAGCGUUCUGAAGAUUUUUGAGGAGAG